AAGCAAACGCUGGAGAACCCGGAAAUUGCCCAGAACGGGAACCGACUUUCGCGCCAACCGCGCGGCCGCGCUUGCCUUUUCCGGUGGAAGUGACGCCAUCGGCAGCUGCAGCAGAAGAGCGGAAAUGUCAAACGUGGAGGUGAGCAGUCUGUGGGCGGUGGGGCUUCAGGGAAAGCUUGGGCCGGACCCUUUGGGUUUAGGGCUUUGCUGGGCGGGCCUAGUCUCCGCUGCGAGUAGGCCCAGCGCCGUCGGUUCAAGAGGUAGGACCACAGGCCAGGAAUACUCCUUUACUGUUAAAAAAGCCAGGGAAAGAAAGGAUUUCCUCAAUAGAUAUUUAUUUUACACCUGUCUUAUACCAGGCAUGCACGGGAAAAGGUAUUAUCCAAAACAAUUCCGUGAGGCAAAUAGUGGUAGUUCCAUUUUGUAGAUGUAAAAACGGAGGAAGUUAAAUGAUGGGUUCAAGGGCACACGGCUAGUAGGUGGUAGAAUUAAUACUGCAUCCAGGUCUUCUGACUACGGACUGGGUGGUUUCCCUCCAACACAGCAGGAAUAGAAUCACCGCCUAACACAGCCACAAGAUGGCAAGGGAAGAAAGGAUGACUUAUUACACAGCUAAUGCAAAGGGAUCUUUGUCAAGAUCUUCAAUGGUCUCCCCUCCUCCUCCCCUUCAGUGGACAUCGCCGUUCUCUUUCUCUGCAUCUGCCUCAGUACUGGGGAGAUUCUGGGACUGAACCUAAGAUUCAGAUGGCAGAGAGCAAAGGGAGAGGGGAUAAGAUGGGCCUGCAAACCUUAGUGAUAACCAGCGGAAAACUGAUUCGUUGUUGCUUCUUUUCAUUUUAUUCUUUUUUAAAAAAAUUUUUUCUUAUUUUAUAAAAUCUAGCCACUAUACUAAUGAGGAUCAUUUUAUUAUUCACUGCUGAGAUUGAGAAAAUGACUUUGGAUUUACUAAUGUAAAAGUAUAAUGCCAUGUCCCUUGAUUGUUUUUGUUUUUCUUUUCUUUUUAGAGCCUAAAGAUAGUAAUGAGCAGCUUGAGUCUUAAGUUUUUGAAUACACCGAUGGAAGGUGACAAAGAUUCUUUGCUUGGCCAAACUUUAGUCAGACUCCUCAACCUUCUCGUAGGUUUAUCUGUGCAUUUCCUUGGAAAAUCCAGUUAGAACCCUCUACCCUCAAUAUCUGAUCAGGUUCCUCAUCCUCUACCAUCCAAGGUGAUGUCUGAUCACCUUGACCUAUUUUCAGCAAGAAACCCCUUUACUCCUGAAGUUCCUUCUUAGUAAUUUUUUAUCCAGUGACCCCAAGCUUUUUGUUCCUUGGCUAUAAAUUCCCACUUGCCCAUGGUGUAUUUAGAGUUGAGCCCACUCUCUCUCUCCUAAUUCAGAAUCCCAUUGCCAUGGUUGCUAUACCUAUCCUGAUGGUCCGGAAUAAAAUCUGUCUUACUGUGCUUUAAUAAAUAUCAUUAAUUUUUUUUUUUUUUUUUUUUUACCAGAAAUGAGUCAGAAUCAAUUAACACUGGGGCUCAAAGGUAAAGGCCUAUUGCUGGGGGAAGGGUGAAGAAAGCCUUAAAAGCAAAAAAACAAAAAUCACUAGAGGUGGGAAAAAAAAGAAACCACAGUUAAUUGUUAAGGUGCAAAUCUGACCUGAAUCUGUAAUAACAAUUAAUAUUUCUAGGGCACUUUACAGUUAACAUGGGACUCCUGCUCACACUAUUCCCGUUUACUCUUUUCAGCAACCCUAUAAUAGAUGGGUAUCAUUGUCUCAUGUUAUGGAGAUGGGGAAAGUGAAGUUCAGGGACUGUGUCACUUGCCCGUGCCUUUCCUGACACACCACACUGCUCCUGGGCACGUGCUGUCUGCCCAUCUCUGUGUGAAGUUCCACACCGGGGAGGGAGCCCAUUCCUGGCAUUUCUGGGCCAAGUAGAGACCUCACAAGAGAAGGAGAUUCAUAGAUGCUGCUAAUGAAGAUGAAGAAAAUGCACCCUUUAGCUUUUACCCAGCCGGAACUUGAUACCAGAGGAGUGACCUGUCUUUAGAGUAAGAGUUCACCACUAGGGGGCAAGUUCUCCCAUCUUGUGUCUCCAGAUAAGCAGAGAGGGUCUGUCUCUAGUAUCUACUCCUGGAAAAUGGAUAAAGCAGUGGUUCUGAUGUGUAGUGUCUGGACCAGCAGCAUCGGCAUCUCCUGGGAAUUUUGGGGGAAUGAAAAUUCUUGGGCUCCACUUCAGACUUAUUAAGUCAGGAGCACUUGGGGUAGGGCUAGCAAUCUGUGCCCUUCAGGUGAUUUUGGUACACAUUAAAGUUUGCUUGAACAGCAGUCCUUCAGGAAAGGGUGAAAUGGUUAGUAUCCACGGAGGAUUGAUUCCAAGGCCCCCUACAGAUAACAAAAUCUGAAGAUGCUCAAGUACCUUAUAUAUAACCUGUGCACAUACUCCCAUGUACUUUUUUUUUCUUUUUUUUGAGACGGAGUCUCACUGUUGUCCAGGUUGGAGUGCAGUUGGCACAAUGUCUGCUCACUGCAACCUCCACCCCCGGGGUUCAAGCGAUUCUCCUGCCUCAGCCUCCCAAGUAGCUGGGGUUACAGGCGUCUGCCAUCGCACCCGGCUAAUUUUUGCAUUUUUAGUGGAGACGGGUUUCACCUUGUUGGCCAGGCUGGUCUUUAACUCCUGACCUCGUGAUCCACCUGACUCAGCCUCCCAAAGUGCUGGGAUUACAGGCAUAAGUCACUGCGCCUGGCCACUCCCAUGUACUUUAAAUAAUCACUAGGUUACUUAUAAUACCUGAUGCUAUGUAAAUACUAUGUAAACGUUUGUUAUACUGUAUUUUUAAAUUUUGUUUUUUUAUUGUUGUAUUUUUUCUACUAUGGCAAAUUUUACAUAAAAAUUGUAUUUUUUUUCUGAAUAUUUUUGAUCCCCGGUUGGUUGACCUCCUCAGAUGUGGAACCCACAGAUACAAGGAACUAACUGUAUAUGGGUUUGUGGUCCCUGAAGACUUUGGUGAAAACAGGGAAAGGUUAUGAUAUGCCCUCGGAAGCUGAGGUUUCGGUGCUUACUUUGGCAGCAUGUUUACUGAAAAAAAAAUGGAAUGAUACAGAGAUAAGCAUUGCCCAUGUGCAAGGAUGACAUGCAAAUUUGUGAAGCAUUCCAUAUUUGCCGGUCGUGGUGACUCUCGCCUGUAAUUCUAGUACUUUAGGAGGCCCAGGCUGGAGGAUCACUUGAGGCUGAGAGUUCGAGACCAGCCUAGGCAACGUAGCAAGAACCCCCAUCUCUAAUAUUUACAAACUUUUUUAAAAAAGAAGCUGGGGACCGGGUGCUAUGGCUCACAUCUGUAAUCCUAGUACUUUGGAAGGCCAAGGUGGGCAGAUUGCUUGAGCCCCAGACUUUGAGACCAACCUGGGCAACAUGGUGAAACCUCAUCUCUACAAAAAAUACAAAAAUGAGCUGAACGUGGUGGCGGGCAUCUGUAGUCUCAGCUACUCAGGAGGCUGAGGUGGGAGGAUCACCUGAGCCUAGGAGGUCAAGGCUGUGGUGAGUCAUGAUCAUGCCACUGCAUUCCAGCCUGGGAUAACAGAGUGAGACCCUAUCUCAAAAAAAAAAAAAAGAAAAAAGAAAAAGAAAAAAAAAUGUAGUUGGGGUAGGGAAUUAACUUUUCCCUCACUUUCCUGGCAUUUAGGAUCAGUUUCCUGUUUCUCUGGCACUUCUGUCACCUAGAGCCAGUCUCUCCAGACCCUGCUUGGGGUGACAUUAUGGGCAACUUUAUCUGUUUAUAGAAUGGAAAAGGAGGCCGGGAGUGGUGGCUCAUGCCUGUAAUCCCAGCACUUUGGGAGGCCGAGGUGGGCAGAUCAUCUGAGAUCGGGAGUUCGAGACCAGCCUGACCAACAUGAAGAAACCCAUCUCUACUAAAAAUAAAAAAAAUUAGCCAGGCAUGGUGGCAGGCGCCUGUACUCGGGAG
rnacentral:lncRNA from 1 species